rnacentral:rRNA from 1 species
UUUUGGACAAUGGGGGCAACCCUGAUCCAGCAAUGCCGCGUGAGUGAAGAAGGCCUUCGGGUUGUAAAGCUCUUUUGUCAGGGAAGAAACGGGAUGAUCCUAAUACGGUCCCCUAAUGACGGUACCUGAAGAAUAAGCACCGGCUAACUACGUGCCAGCAGCCGCGGUAAUACGUAGGGUGCAAGCGUUAAUCGGAAUUACUGGGCGUAAAGCGUGCGCAGGCGGUUAUGUAAGACAGGUGUGAAAUCCCCGGGCUUAACCUGGGAAUGGCAUUUGUGACUGCAUAGCUAGAGUGUGUCAGAGGGGGGUAGAAUUCCACGUGUAGCAGUGAAAUGCGUAGAGAUGUGGAGGAAUACCGAUGGCGAAGGCAGCCCCCUGGGAUAACACUGACGCUCAUGCACGAAAGCGUGGGGAGCAAACAGGAUUAGAUACCCUGGUAGUCCACGCCCUAAAC